UUGCUUUGUCAGGAAAGAUGCUAAAAGUGGAACAAUACAGAGAAGAUUAGCAUGGCCCCUGUUCAAGGAUAACAUGCAAAUUGGUGAAGUGUUCCAUUUUGCA